rnacentral:rRNA from 1 species
AUCGAACGCUGGCGGCAUGCCUAACACAUGCAAGUCGAACGAGUGGCGGACGGGUGAGUAAUGUCUGGGAAACUGCCUGAUGGAGGGGGAUAACUACUGGAAACGGUAGCUAAUACCGCAUACCAUCGGAUGUGCCCAGAUGGGAUUAGCUUGUUGGUGGGGUAACGGCUCACCAAGGCGACGAGCCCUAGCUGGUCUGGGAGGAGGACCGGCCACAUUGGAACUGAGACACGGUCCAGGCUCCUGCGGGAGGCAGAAGUGGGGUAUAGUGCGCAAUGGGGGCAAGCAUGAUGCAGCCAUGGCGCGUGUAUGGAGAAGGCCUUCGGGUUGUAAAGUACUUUCAGCGGGGAGGCGUUACCCGCAGAAGAAGCACCGGCUAACUCCGUGCCAGCAGCCGCGGUAAUAC